rnacentral:rRNA from 1 species
AGAGUUUGAUCCUGGCUCAGGAUGAACGCUGGCGGCGUGCCUAACACAUGCAAGUCGAGCGAUUUACUUCGGUAAAGAGCGGCGGACGGGUGAGUAACGCGUGGGUAACCUGCCCUGUACACACGGAUAACAUACCGAAAGGUAUGCUAAUACGAGAUAAUAUGCUUUUAUCGCAUGGUAAAAGUAUCAAAGCUUUUGCGGUACAGGAUGGACCCGCGUCUGAUUAGCUAGUUGGUAAGGUAACGGCUUACCAAGGCGACGAUCAGUAGCCGACCUGAGAGGGUGAUCGGCCACAUUGGAACUGAAACACGGUCCAAACUCCUACGGGAGGCAGCAGUGGGGAAUAUUGCACAAUGGGCGAAAGCCUGAUGCAGCAACGCCGCGUGAGCGAUGAAGGCCUUCGGGUCGUAAAGCUCUGUCCUCAAGGAAGAUAAUGACGGUACUUGAGGAGGAAGCCCCGG